UUGCCGAUCUUUCCCGAAGGGCAUAAUGAUCGUUGAUUAUUUUGAUGUUUGUAAAAACGUUACGAAUGGCGGGAUAUGUGUAUGAUUUUUAAUAUUUUUGCGUGUGAAUGCUAAAACGUGAAAAAUAGUUUUCUGUUUGCAAUCAUGGCAAAGUUAUCAGCAUAUGAUUCGCACAGUGAAGGGCCGGAAUAUGUUGGUAUACGAUUCUGCUUGGAAUGUAACAACAUGUUGUACCCUAAAGAAGAUAAAGAAAACAAAGUGUUGUUAUACGCUUGUAGAAAUUGUGAUUACAAGCAGCUAGCACCAAGCAAUUGCAUUUACGUGAACAAGAUCAUGCACGAGAUCGACGAACUGACGCAUAUCGUUUCUGAUGUUGUUUCGGACCCGACACUGCCUCGAGCAGAAGAUCACCCGUGCCCCAAGUGCAACCACCGCGAGGCUGUGUUCUUCCAGGCCCAGACCAGGAGAGCUGAAGAAGAGAUGAGGCUGUAUUACGUAUGCACAAACACUCACUGUGGUCAUCGCUGGACUGAAUAACUUGUUAUAGUGCAUUUGUUUACAUUGAUUUGCAAGACUGUCAUCAUGAGCAAUGAUGCAAUAACAGAAGUAGACUAAAAAAAUCGGUAUUUUCACGUCCGUAUAAAUUUUUUCUUCAUGUUGCUCUUUUUUAUAAGGAAUAAAUAAAAACCAAACAUUAUAGUAAUCAAUGUAAAAAAAAAUUGUGUUUAUCUGAAACUUUGUUUUUAAUUGUGCAGACGAACAGGAAAAAACUCGAAAAGCAGUUUCUCUAGAAUUUCCCCUUCAUCCAACUAGUUGUCGCUUAUUCGUCAUACCAUCUGGUCACGUCGUCGGCAGCCCACAGCAAAUGUGAAGUGAUGGGAAAAGAAUAGAAUCACACAUGCUGGUCGGGGGUGAGUCAUUUGUUUUUCAAACCAAUUUUUUUGUCACUGUAAAUCAGGCCCGAGUUGUCAACGUUUGUUUGGGGUGUCGGUGAUCGCCUGCGAGGCAUAGGUCUCAAAAUUUAGUGAACCUCAGUUAAGAGGUAACUGUGAAUUUUGUCAUCGGUUUGGAUAAGUUGACAAGCAUGUUUCGGGAAGAAGAAAUCAAAACACAGAUAAGAAAUUAUUUUAUUUAAUCAGCAGCUCAUUUUCACUUUCGAGUGCAAAAAGACUGACUUAGUGAUAUUUAAAUGUUGCGAAUUGUGACAGUGUUAAGUGUGUCUGGCUGGGCUGACUCGACAUAAAAAAGUUCAAUCUAUUUUUUUUAUCUUAACCUAACUUAAAACUGUAGAGUUAUUCAUUAACAGAGCAUCUUUUCCAUGAAAAGAAAUUUUCUGGAACUGUUAACUUAGUUGUCCUGCAGAGAAGAAUUUUUUAAUUCUACUGUAUUUUACAAAAAUAUGUAAAGCACGCACAAAUUUAUUUUUAGGUUAUAUUGUGUUGAAAACUUUCUUAGACCUUACUUAACAAAAUAUUAAAAAAAAUUUUUGUAAUGUCGCAGAAUGUACAUGGAAAAUUUAGAUGCGCUGAUACAGCAGUAUUUAAUUAUUUAAUGGUCUUGCAUUAUUGUUAGGUUAAAAUGUAAAUUUCGGUAUUUAAAAUAUCUAUGAAUGUCAAGAGAUUUUUUAAAUACACCACUAAUGAAAAUGUCCAAGGAGUUUGUAUUCAUCAUUGUGCAAUAUUUGGAAAAGGUCAUUGUAAUAGUGAUAAAUUGACAGAUUAGUCCCGAACUUAGCUUACUUAUUAAAUAUACUUUUGUGUAGCGAGAGUUAAUUGAAAAAAUUAAAGAGAUUGGAAGAAGAAAAAAUAGUUAGUCUGUAAUAUUAUGGUUGUUUCAAACAACUAGAAUGGGAAUAAAGAUAGCUGCAUCAGCGAGUGCCAUUUGGUUAUAUUAUAUGAAAUUUAAUGCACAAUUAAUUUAUUUGAUUAAAAUCACAUAAAAGUGUAUGUAAAAAUAUUUAAUGAUAAAAUUAAUGUGUGGGUCAUUAGUUUUAUGGAAACAAGGUGAAGUUUCUUUAGUACCUAUAUUCUGUAUACGCUUUUAAAAAAAAUCAAUAAUGUUAUCACAAUAAUAUUUAACUAAUUUUAUCUUUCUUCAAAAUUUGAGUUUUUUUCAUUCAUUGCUUUCAUUGCUAAACUUUAGUAAGAAGUUAAAUGUCCAAAAUUGGAUAACUAAAGUUAACCUCUGGGUAUCUAUCUUGCAAGGAAAGGGCGCAAAUUUCGGGUCACCCUUCAAUGGCAAUCUACCCUGUAAAGAAGAAAACCCAACUCUCAAUUUUUCUCGAGAAAUAGCCAAUCAAAAAAAUGACAACUUAUAUACCAGUACUGUUGCAUUCAGAAUCGCUAAAACAGUGUGGGACAGUGGUUAAUCUGAACACCAUGCUAGUGACUUGGGUUUGAUACCAGGUUGGGUACUUCAUUUUUUAUCAAUUUUUCAUCGAUAACAUGCAAAUUAUUUUUAUUUAUUGAUAAUAAUACAUUUUCUCCUUUUUUUUACUGCAAAUGUUCAACUGGUAUGAUGAAAUUAAUAUGAAAUAAGCAAAAUGCUGUUAUUAAAUACACAUCGUAAUUUAUUUUUCAAACACACGUCAAAAUAUGACAAUAUUUACUCAUUUUCAUUUCAGUAAUUUUCUACAGAUUUGGUGCAUACUUGCCAAAAGAAAUUUGUAAAACAUAUGAAGGGUCCAGGGAUAAAACAUGCUAAGUCAAAAAUCAACCAUUUUCUGUUGCAAGUGUGGUGAGAUGAGUUAAAAUGAGAUCUUUAUGGCCGUGUUACGAGACGGGAAUAACCUGUUUAGUCAGAAGAUAUGAGCGGUUAAAGAAACGGUAUACAGGCGAAGAACAUGUCAAGUCAUAGUGAUACAGAGAAAGAACAUGCCAAGUCAAUGGGAAGUAAUUUUUGCAGUUGUGCCAGCACUGUUCACAUUCAUUUGUUUAUAUCACCCCUUACUCUAUAAUGUAUAUUGUUUGUUUCAAUAUUAUGUGAAUAAUGUGUACAGCAGUGUAUUAUAAACAUUUGGCAUUUCAGUGAAUUACUAUUGGCGUUUAUUCAAUUUUGUACAUGUUUGUGAUGUCAUCAAAAAACACAAUGGAUUCAAAUGAAGAUAUCAGGAAUAUUUCCUCCAAUUCAAAAAGAAAACGUAAGUAUGGCCGUUUGCAAGAGGUUAGGAAGAAAAUAAAACUUUGAAGUCAUGAAAUAGGCCCAGACUGCCAAUGUAAGAAAAAGUGUUUUGAGAUUGUAGAUGAAGAUAAAAGAAAAGAGAUAAUUAAACGUAUGAACAGUAUGCAUUCUAAAGACGAGAUAAACAUCUAUCUUGCUGGGUUGAUAACCAUAUUACCAGUUAAACAACGGCAUCCCAGACAGCCAGAAGAAAAAGCAAAUAUGAGAGACGCCACCUUUUCGUACCGUUUACGAUACAUGGAAGAAGGAAAACCAGAUGAAGUAAGAGUUUGCAGAAAAGCUUUCAUAUCAGUACAUGGGAUAGGAAAAGGUAAAGUUAAUUAUAUUUUGCAAUCGCUUAAGAGUUCGGGGGAUGCGCCAAGGGACAAACGUGGUAAACACAAGAACUGUGUUCAUGCACUUCCCGAUGAAACUAACCAAAAAAUUCAUUAUCACAUUAACAGCUUAAGAGGAAGAGAGAGUCAUUAUAGUCAGAAAGACAGCAAGAAGUAUUUACCUGAAGAGUUAAAUAUAUUGAAGGUCUACAAAAUGUUCCUAGAGAAGAAUCCUGGUAUAAAAGUAUCAUACGAGACCUACAGAAGUAUUUUCAAUGCAGAUUUUAAUAUUGCUUUUGGAUGUAUUUAAUGCCAGAAAAAGUUGCUUAGAAGCAGAACUGCAAACCGCUGAGGACAACCAAACAAAAGAAAUGUUAAGUAAUGAAAUUAACAUUAUCUGCACUGUUAGGGAAUCACAUAACAAGACAGCUCAGUAAUGGUACGAUCUAAAAAGAAAGGCCAAAGUUACAUGUCGACGUGACAUCACAAAGGAAGCAAUAGUGUUUGAUUUCUCAAAGAACUACCCGAUUCCGAAUAUCACUACUGGUGAAGUUUACUACAGACGUCAACUUUCUAUGUUCUUCUUCAAUGUCCAUGUUUUGUCGACUGGAAGAAGCGUGUUUUAUGUUUAUCCUGAAACAGUCGGGCAAAAGGGAAGUAAUGAAGUUUGUUCUUUUCUCCACCAUUUCAUCUACAACUAUCUAGAAGAAAAUGUCACCGAACUGGAGGCAUUUUGCGAUUGUUGCCCUGGGCAAAACAAAAACCACACCGUUUUCAAAUUUCUCCAUCACCUUGUUCACAAGGAACACCGCCUGCAACAUGUCACAUGUACAUACCCGAUAAGAGGACAUUCAUAUAAUGAAUGUGACAAGAACUCAAGACUGAUAAACCAAAAAACAAGAGCCGAGAUGCCAGAAGAAUGGGCUGAAACCAUCAGAAUCUCAAGAGUAAAGCCUUCAACUUUUGAAGUGGUUGAAGUUGAACAAGAAAGAUCAAAGAUUGGACAACACACCUGGACACAUACUAUCAGAAGAAGUUGCAGCGUGCUUUUCGAACUGUCAAGGUUUUAAUUGUUUCAGAAGAUCAUCCAGCACUUAUAAAAUAUCGGAACUCCUUUCAUGGACCAUGGAAUAACGUCCCAGUGCUACCUACAAAGGGUAAAAAGAAGCAGCAGCCAUUGCAACAUCAGCAAGUGUCAGAAACUGAGUUUAUUCUGCCAAACAUUGCCUAUGAUGGUGAGUUAAAAAGUCAUAUUUUACACCUAUAUCUACCAAAAUAAUUUAUUUUGUUUUCCAUUACAUUUUUCAUCCUUCUGAGUGAUUAUUUAAUGUUCAAAUAAUCUAACAUAUUCCAAUGUCAUAGCUAAAUUAUCUUUUCACGUAUUUGGUGUAUGAUUUGGUUAUUAUAAACUGCCCUAAAAAAUUAUUACAGUCAUGAAUAAGUUAUCAAUUAAUGUUAAAUAUAAUACAGGUAUAUGCCAUUUUACAUGUUUGGAUACUAUCCUAGUUUAUUUUUUCAGCUGGUUUGCUGGUCACAAAGGAAAAGUAUGAUGAUCUGCAGUGCUUGAAGAACGUUUGUACAAAUCCAAGGUGGCAGACUACUACACUGGCCUAACUCAUAAGUAGUGAAUGUCUGUUCCUGUAGAUAAAUAUACGACUAUAUUGCAUUUUUGUUCCUUUAAUGAGAAAGAAUUAUAUUUCAAAUAAAAUUUUAAUUGUGGUUCCACAUAGAAAUAUGUCAUCACCAUUGUUUUGCAAUAAUUAAUGAAAGUAGUAUUUCUCUGCAUAUCAAUUACAGGGGAAAACCAGGUUAGGUCACAACAAUGAUUACACAAGUUUUAAUAAUUUUACAUACUCUAUAAAAAAUUAAACCAUUAUAAUAUUUUAGCUAUAUGUUCUUUGUUCUUUGUUAGUGUAAUAUUCUAAGAAAAAGGCUUGCAGCAAAUAAUGAUUGUAUGUUAGCUCUUGAAAGUACUUAAACAUUAAAAUUGCUCUCCUGAAAAAUCAUUAAAAUUGACUUAACAUGUUUUACCCCUGGGCCCUUCAUACAUAUUAUGUUCUGUUUACACCACAUGUACUGUAUAAAUGUGACAUUUUUGUGAAUUUAUUUUUUUUUUUUUAAACAAAGCAGAUGCAAGCAGGUUUUGUUAACAUUUUGUAUUGUAACUUUUGGUUCUAUGAGUUUCGCAGCAUACCAAAUCUAUUUCAACUUGUAAGUCAACUGUGGAGGCUCAAUUGGUGAAAAACUAAUUAAUUUUUUUUGUGGCAUCUCAAACUUGGAUAUUUCUUUUUUUCUUCUUCUUUUUGUAGUAUCGUAAGGCCAUUGACACAGAAAGCUAAAAAAAAAUUUUCAUUUGAAAUAACGUACAAGGAAAAAAAAUUGCAAUGCUUAAAAUCUAAUAGUGAUGGUCCGUACUGUGGUAAAUUAAUUUUUUAUUUCUUGUAUUUUCAAUAAAAUGAAACAUGAAUUUUCAAGUAAUCAUUGAAAAAUUGAUAAAAUAUAAAAAAAAUAAUAGCCAAAAAGGGAUUAAACCUGAAACACCAGUGCAAUAGUCAGAUGCUCUAACUGGUAGGGCACGCUACCUCAAUAACUUUGAAUGCAAUGUCAUGGGUAUAUAAAUUGUGUCUCGUUUUUCGAUAAGAUAUUUGUAGAGAAUGAUUGAGAUUUGGGUUUUUUCCUUUACAGGGGAGGUUGCUAUUGGGAUGUAAUUUAUUCUUGCAAAGGGACGUAAAAAUCGGUGACCUGAAGUUUGCGCCCUCUUCGUGUUAAACCCAAGUUACUUCUCAGUGAAGUACAAAUUAUUAAAUUUAAAUGAAAAGGUCUUCAGUCAGCUUAAAAUCUUAAUUGAUUAUGGUAAAAUUGGUCUUAAGAAGCAAAAAAAAAAAUAUAGAAAUAUGUAUUAUACUGAAAAUUAUGUAAAUCACUAAAAUUUCAAUAACAGAAAUGUCAGUAUACUUAAAAUUUGUUUCUAAUAGACAGUGAACUCCUACCCUUUUAAGGUAAAUGAUAUAGUGUUAGUUGUAGAUGCAAAAAAAUAUAUAUAUAUAUAUUGUUGGCUAAUUCACAUUCUUUUAAAAUAGUAAUGUGGUGAAAAACAUAAGGCUAUUGAACAUAACUUAGCAUAACUUCAGAGUAUUUAAUUAACAUCUGCAUAAGCUUGAUAAAAAAUCAAACCAUCCACCAUCCAAAAAGCCAAGGUACAUGUUUACAAAGAUUAUCAUGUUCAACAUUAUUACUUUUCUUGAACAGAAUUAAAUUGUAGGAUAUAAAUAUUUACACUGCAUUAUAAAUUUUUCAUGUUAAGUUUGUACAAAUUUUUUUACAUUAUUUGGAAAUUAUUUUGCAUUGCUGAGUGCAAAGCUCCUUUCUGGACCUUCUUAAGUUAUUCGCUGUAUGUCUUCAAUUUGCAUUUUAUCUUGUUUUGUCACACAACUCGCAUUUCUGAAGCCUUCGUUCUACUUCGGUCCACGUUGGUAUUAACCCAUGCCUAUCAGCAGUGUUGUUAAAAGUACUCGGAAAAAGUAAUUGGGCUCAAUUACAAUUACUGUGGUGAUAAUGUAACUAAUUACAAGUAAAAAUUACUUUACAUAGAAGUAAUCAGUAAAAUUACAAUUACUUUCCGCUACCAAUUUUAAAACUGACCUACGAUUCAAUUUUUUUACACUUUGUUACAUUAAUAAACAUACAUAUUUGUUUUGUUAAAAAAAUGAUUACAUGUAAUGAUUAAAUUUAUUAUCUUUAAUUAAAUGAAUAAUAUUUGAGGACAAACUUGCUUGAAUAACAUCAAAAGACUUCAUACAAGUAGUGGAAUUGACCUUACAAAAAAUUGCAUUUUAAAGUUCCCAUCAGAUAGAUUCCCUCUCUUGAUGGCAAAAACAUCUUUACCAACACUAAAAAGACGCUCAACAGGAGCACUUGACGGCAGCGAUGUGACAAAUUUUUAAAAUGCAGAUUUUAGGAUAGGGUAAUGUUGGAGACACUGCAAGUCACUAUGACUCUUCAUUUUUGAUCAUAGAUGUUGUGCAUACGAUCGUAGCAAUACAAGCGUAAAAUUAUAAACUUUACUAAUACAAUUCUUGUUCUUAAUUGUAUUCAUUAUACGUUCCGAGAAUAAAAGUAACGGCAAGUAAAUAUAAAGUAUCGAUUACCUUAAUGUAUCGAUUACAAUUAAUGUUAUGUAUUCCGAUUACAAGUACGAAUUACAUUUUUUAAAUGUAAUUCGUUACAAGUAUAAAUUACUUGAAAAGUAAUCGUUACAAGUAAUCCGAUUACUUGUAAUUCGUUACUUAACAACACUGCCUAUCAGUACCUGUCAUCAUUUCUUCUUUGGAAAGAGAUAAUAAUAAAAAUAAAUAGAUUUUUUUCAAAACCAUCCGUUCUCUUGAUUUUGUAGCCCUGGGCUGUAGCAACAAAAGCUUGUGUAGUUGCAUACAGAAUAAUUUUCAGAGCUCACGAAUUUAAAGUAAAAAAUUAGUUUAUAGCGAAACCUCACAUGUCGAAGUUGAUAGGUUUAUCAGGAGUUUGUGUAGACUUAAUUUCAGUCUAGCAUGGUAAAUUGGGUGAAAUGGUCUUAAGACAACAUUUUAAAUAAUAUAUGCUGAGAUAUUGGCACACCCUGAGAAUAUGAGUGGCACCAUUUUUGGUGCCUGAUCUUGAUCUGUACUUGAGAUUAUAAAGUAUGUGUAAGGUCUGUUGUUUUCGAAACUGAUUGUCCUCAAAAACUAUUAGAUCAGCUAGAAAAAUAAACCCAACAAAUUUAUUGUGUAACUACAGAAAAAUUAAUUUCAAUCCCUCACAUUUAAUAAAAACCUCUUUAAUUAGCUUAACAAUUGGUCUUUAGUAAUUUUUCAGUAUUUUCUUUGUAAAAAUUAUUUUUGGUGAAGAUUGUUUAAAUGCUGAAUGUUUAUAAUGUUGAAUUCCAUAAAUUUCUGUAACUAAGAUUUUUUAUUUGAAAAUUUAUUAAACUGAAAUAUUUUUCUGAAUUCAAUGCUGUCCCAAAAAGUGUGUACUACCAAUGGCAUAUUUUUUAUAAGAAUUUUAAAAGCUGUUUUUUUUUAAUUUGAUUGGAAAUUUUUUAUUAAGCAAUUUGUUUAUAUAUUUUCUAAAGUGGUUAAUAAACUGUAUUAAUGUAACAAUUAUUUUUAAAUCACAUCAAUCAAAUUUUGUAGCAAAAAUUACUUAUUUUUGAUCCUGAUCCGACGAAUAAAAGAACUUUCAAGAAU